rnacentral:misc_RNA from 1 species
UCAAACUUGGUCAUUUAGAGGAAGUAAAAGUCGUAACAAGGUCUCCGUUGGUGAACCAGCGGAGGGAUCAUUACCAGAGUAGCCCUAGGCUCUCCAACCCACUGUGAACAUACCUACGUUCCCUCGGCGGGCUCAGCGGCCGGCGUCCCUCGCGGCGCCGGGCGUCCGCCGGGGGCCCCCAAACUCGAAUUUACAGCGUGUAUUUCUGAGGGGCGAAAGCCCGUAAAACAAAUGAAUCAAAACUUUCAACAACGGAUCUCUUGGCUCUGGCAUCGAUGAAGAACGCAGC